UACAGAGGGUGCGAGCGUUAAUCGGAAUUACUGGGCGUAAAGGGCGCGUAGGCGGAUGAAUAAGUUAGGUGUGAAAUCCCUGGGCUUAACCUGGGAAUGGCACUUAAUACUGUUGAUCUAGAGUAGAGUAGAGGGAAGUGGAAUUUCCGGUGUAGCGGUGAAAUGCGUAGAGAUCGGAAAGAACACCAGUGGCGAAGGCGGCUUCCUGGACUCAUACUGACGCUGAGGCGCGAAAGCGUGGGGAGCAAACAGG
rnacentral:rRNA from 1 species